UACGUAGGCAGCAAGCGUUGUUCGGAAUUACUGGGCGUAAAGAGUGUGUAGGCGGUGCUCUAAGUCUGUUGUGAAAUCUCCCGGCUUAACUGGGAGGGUGCGGCGGAGACUGGAGUGCUAGAGUGUGGGAGAGGUAAGCGGAAUUCCUGGUGUAGCGGUGAAAUGCGUAGAUAUCAGGAGGAACACCAAUUGCGAAGGCAGCUCGCUGGGACGUAACUGACGCUGAGACGCGAAAGCAUGGGGAGCGAACAGG
rnacentral:rRNA from 1 species